rnacentral:rRNA from 1 species
GGCGGCGUGGAUUAGGCAUGCAAGUCGUACGCACAGCUUCGGCUGUGAGUGGCGCAAGGGUGAGUAAUGCGAAGGUAACCAACCCUGGAGUUGGGCAUAACCGCGGGAAACUGCGGGUAAUUCCCAGCGAUGUCUCGAGAUGGCAUCAUCUUGCGACCAAAGGUGUGAUUCCGCUCUAGGACGGGCCUUCGUGGUAUUAGGUAGUUGGUGAGGUAACGGCUCACCAAGCCGACGAUGCCUACCGGGUGUGAGAGCAUGACCCGGCACACUGGAACUGAGACACUGUCCAGACACCUACGGGUGGCUGCAGUCGAGAAUCUUCGGCAAUGGGCGAAAGCCUGACCGAGCGACGCCGCGUGAGGAAGAAGGCCUCGGUUGGUAAACCUCUUCGUUAGAGGAGGAAGGGGACCGGUGCGAGAGCGGUCUUU